AGAAGGAGGCUGGUGAUGCUGAGAGAGGAGGAAGGGAGAGGACAGUGACGCUGAGCAAGGUGACACUCUUAACUAAAUAGUUCCACUCAGCUAGUGGCCAUGGCUAUGAGAUAUUUAAGUCUGGCAUUGGCCAGGAUGAUCAACCAUCUAUCUAUCUGGGACUCAGGUGAUUUUAUUUCUGAUGUGGCAGGAGUGGUAAGAAGUGAUUGAUGGACAGGGGAUUAAAUCAGUGUUCACAUUCUGAAAGUUUAACCAAGCCUAGAGCCAAAGCAGGUCAGGAGACCUGAUGAGAAGGCCUCAAGGAAAAUUAUCAGGACACGGGGCAUGGAGCCUGGUGGAUUGGUUCUGUAUUCUAGCAAGACUCGACCAACCUCCAGCAAAGUGCCUUGCUCUCCAGGCCUCAGCACCUUCGCCCAUCAGUAUGGAAGUGGUUUUAACAACAGCAUGACCACAACAAUUCCUGGGAUAACUGAACGCUUGGUCCCAGGUUGACGUGAUGGAUACCUGAAGCUGAGGACUCUUGAGAUGCUGCAGCGUGUACCUUAGUCCUCACUGGGAAGUGGUUGCUCCAUGGCUCUGAAGCAAUGAGAACAAAUUCCUUCCUUCAACUCUAGAUAGCAGUGUUAUCUGUGCACAGCACACUUCUGACAUGGCCCUCCAACAAUGACUCUCAGAAGCUGCUGAUGACAAUAUAAUACUGUCAGGACAAUUGAAUGGGCACCUUAACCAGUCCAAUUCCAGAGAGGAGAUCUCAUUUGUCAUCUUAAUCUCUGGGACCUCACAACUUUCGUUGAUCACUGUUAGUAAAUACGAAUGGCAAUUUAA